rnacentral:rRNA from 1 species
AGCAGCCGCGGUAAUUCCAGCUCCAAUAGCGUAUAUUAAAGUUGCUGCAGUUAAAAAGCUCGUAGUUGAAUUUCGGGACCAAUAUGUCGGUCGUGCCUCGGUACGUACUGGCAUCGUUGGUUUCUCCCUUCUGACGAACCAUGAUGUCAUUUAUUUGGUGUCGUGGGGAAUCAGGACUGUUACUUUGAAAAAUUAGAGUGUUUAAAGCAGGCUCACGCUUGAAUACAUUAGCAUGGAAUAAUGAAAUAGGACGUUUGAUUCUAUUUUGUUGGUUUCUAGGAUCGACGUAAUGAUUAAUAGGGAUAGUUGGGGGCAUUAGUAUUCAAUUGUCAGAGGUGAAAUUCUUGGAUUUAUUGAAGACUAACUACUGCGAAAGCAUUUGCCAAGGAUGUUUUCAUUAAUCAAGAACGAAAGUUAGGGGAUCGAAGACGAUCAGAUACCGUCGUAGUCUUAACCAUAAACUAUGCCGACUAGGGAUCGGAUGAUGUUAAUUUUUUAAUGUACUCAUUCGGCGCCUUAA